rnacentral:rRNA from 1 species
AUUGAACGCUGGCGGCAGGCCUAACAAAUGCAAGUCGAGCGAGCGGCGGAAAGGUGAGUAAUGCCUGGGAAACUGCCUGAUGGCGGGGGCUAACAACCGCAAACGGUAGCCCAUACCGCAAACCAACAGAUGUGCCCAGCUGGGACUAGCGAGUAGGGUGGGUAACGGCUCACCUAGGAGACGAUCCCUAGCUGGUCUGAGAGGAUGACCAGCCCCACUGGAACUGAGCCACGGUCCAGGCUGCUACGGAAGUCUGCAGUGGGGAAUGUUGCACAUCAGGGGUCAGCCUGGUGCGGCCAUGCCGCGUGUGUGAAGAAGGCCUACGGGUUUUUGAUCACUUUCCUCUAGGAGGCGUUACCCGCAGGAGAAGCACCGGCUAACUCCGUACCAGCAGCCGCGGUAAUUC